UUGUAGCUGCCAUACACGCAUCUCUAUUUAACGAAGCGAAUCAGACGACGACGGCAUCUGUCCAGUUUUCCUUUUUUUCUCUCCGUUCUCUCUUCAAGUCCCGCCUGCGCAAGGGAACAUAUCUUUUAGUUUAAUAUUAUAUAACAGUUAUAUAUUAUUAUAUAUACAAUUUUCUUUUUGACCUAUUUAUGCUUUUUUUUUUGCUUUUAUUCAUCGUCACUGUGCUGCGGUACUGCUAAUUGGCGCUCUCUCUCCAGUGUGAGCUGGCGCGAUUCUCACGCCGAGUCGUCCCCCCUCUGAUGCACCGCUGCUGGCCAGUCCGAUCCUGCUGACUCUGUGUUAGGCGCUCGCUGACCGCACAAUACUGGCGGUGUUUCCUCCUUCACACCUUCAGCAGCUUAUCAUUCAGCAGUAAGACCCCCCCCCCCCACCCUUAAACGGACACCUAUAGAAACCCCUGCGCAGAUUUUCGCCACAUCACUUGCGCUGCAACUGUGCUUCAUCUUUUUCUUUUUUUGGUAUUCUGCUUGCAUUGCCCUCUCUCUAUUCCCAUGAAGUCGCGGACAUCUGGAGGCUCUCGCCGGCCCACUACUGGUGGCACGGGUGGAUGCUCACUCGAGACGGCCCUUGCGGCCUCUUCUUUGCUUCUUUGGCUCCCCUACUCUCUAGCGGCGGUGUACGUGGCCUACUGCAGCGCGUUUGUAUCGGAGUCAUCUGUCGCUGGAAGUGUAAGCGCGUUGUCCAACAGUGGCGGCAUCAGGGUUGCAUCGUCGGCAUCCGGGGGCAGCGCAGGGCUCGCGACGUCAUCCGCGUCUGCUGGAGCGUCGCUUGCCUCAUCGUCGGCGUCGGCCAUGGCAACGGCCACCUACGGCAGCGCCAUCACAAGAGGCGCGACGGCCCGGCAUCGCUACAGCUCAAUCUACUACUACAUCUUUCCUGUCGGCUUCGAAAUUGCCGUCUUCGUGCCGCUGCUGCUGCGCGUCCUGUCCUUCAGCGCAGCAGCAAUCCUCGUCACCUAUUACCUCUCCGUGCACAAGGUCAGCGGAGGCGAGUACUUGAUGGCGGUGGCGUGGGCACUCGGGACCUUCAGCGGAUACGGAUGGCUGUACUCUUCGACAGGGUUGAUGCUGCCGACUUCGUCGUCCUCUUCAUCUCUCUCGAGCAGUGCCAACGCGGGGGCGCAGGUGAUGCCAUCCGCUGUAAGACCGUCUUGGCUGUGGCUCGUGGUGUCGCUCCUCACCGGCCUCUUCAGCGGCAUCCUGUGCAAGGUGAAGGACAUUGUGGAUGGCAAGCAUGCCUGCGAUACGCAUCUCUUUCCGCUGCUGGAACGCUAUGAAGAAUUCUUCGAGGACGCAGAGCUGCGGUGCGCCGCUGGCGCCGGUGACAACCACCACGAUGAUCGCGGCGCUAGCUCUCCUUUUGCAGCAGCAGCUGCAUCUCCCUCCUUUCCUCUGUCUGGUGUGCUGCGUUACCGCCGCAUCUGCAUGUCCACCUCCCACCAUCUUGUCAGCCUCGGCGACCGACUCUACAUGGUCGUGCCCUUCUGCACUGGCCAGUGGUUCUCGUUCAUCCUCCACCACGGGUGGCGCGGCAUCAUUGUGGAGAACGGCACCAUCUUGCUUUCCCUCAGCUUGGUAGGCUACACGAUGCUGAGCUACAAGUUUCUGAAGCGCCAGGUGCUGCGCGUUUCUGGGCGGGUGACCCUCUCGGCGACGGCGCGCAGUCGCAAUCGUCGCAACAAGCGCCGCCUCCAGCAGCAGCACCAGCAGCAGGGCGGCGCUGCUGUGAUCUCCGAAGAGGAUGCAGCCGAAGAUGCCAACAGUGCCGAUUUUCCCGAGGACGUCGGGGAGGUGGCGGUUGUCGACGUCAUGGAUCUCAUCUCGAAGCUGUUCACGACGUCUUUUGGUGUUGUUGUGCUAGUGGUGCUGGGGCUGAACCUCUUUAUGACGUCCCUCUGUAUCCCCUUUCUGAAGGCGCUCUUCAAGCUCAACGCGCUGGUCAGUGGCGUCGGCAUUGUAAUUGAGCUCAUCAUGUACGAAGUGGCGUGAUGAGCUUGUAGCGAUGCCUGCAGAGGCCAGUGCACGUGUGCACGUGUGUAUGCGUCUACCUCGUUGUUUGUGUGUUGCCUUGCCAUCAUUGGCCACAGCGUAUCGUUGAAUAUUGCUUUUUUUCCUCGGGGGAGAAGGGGCUGUGCUCGAGUGCCGUGUCCACCCUGCCCCACGAGUGUUGAGUAUGUUCUUUUCCCUUUUUUUGCUGCUCCCUUCGCAACGAUCAGACACUUACCCACCUCAACCUACCCAUGAACACAGGGGCUUAUAUGCUCAGAUAUGCAUAGGCGCAUACGUACUUACCCAUAUAUACAUAUACAUAUAUACAUAUAUACAUAUAUAUGUAUAUGUAUAUACGUCCACACACCUGCACGGGCUUGCUCUCUCACUCACAACGCAUGUCGAGUGCAUGAAGUGAAAACG
rnacentral:misc_RNA from 1 species